UACGUAGGGUGCGAGCGUUAAUCGGAAUUACUGGGCGUAAAGCGUGCGCAGGCGGCGCCGCAAGUCAGGCGUGAAAUCCCCCGAGCUUAACUUGGGAAUGGCGCUUGAAACUACGGUGCUGGAGUGUGGCAGAGGGAGGUGGAAUUCCCAGUGUAGCGGUGAAAUGCGUAGAUAUUGGGAGGAACACCAGUGGCGAAGGCGGCUCACUGGACCGGUUCUGACGCUGAGGCGCGAAAGCGUGGGGAGCAAACGGG
rnacentral:rRNA from 1 species